UUCAUGUUUUCAUUGUAAUGUAGACAUGAUUAAUGUAAGGUGGACAGGUUCACUGUAAGGUAAACUGGUUCACUGAAAGCCAGACAUUAUCAUUGUAAGGCACAAGUGUUAAUUGUAGGGUAUUUAUGUUCAUUGUAAGGUACCCACUUUCCUUGCAAGGUAGACAUGUUCACUGUAAAGCGGAUAGGUUUCCUGUAUGGUAGACAUGAGAACUCGUGCUCACUGUAAGGCAACCAUGUUCAUUGAAAGGUACACAUGUUCAUUAUAAGGUACAUAUAUUCAUUGUAAGGUACACAUAUUUAAUGUAAGGUAGACAAAGUCAUUGUAGGAUAGACAUGCUCCGUGUAAGGUAGGUUUGUUCACGGUAAGGCAACAUUAUUCAUUCUAAAGUAGACAUGUUCAUUGUAAGGUAGAGAUAUCCAUUGUAGGGUAGACUUGCUCCCUGUAACGUAGACAAGUACACUGUAAGGUAAACAUGUUCAUUGUAAGGCAGAUAUGUAGUUGUUAUACGUCAAAAUUUUAAUGUGAGGUAUUAUGGUCAUUUUAAGGUUACCAUGUUCAUUGUAAGCUACACAUAUUCCUUGUAAGGUAGAAAUGUUCAUUGUAGGGUUGACAAGAUCCCUUUAAGGUAGAAUGGGUCACUGUAAGUUACACAUGUUCAUUAUCAGGUAGAUAUGUAGGUAGACAGGAACAUUGCAAAGUACACAUUUUCAUUGUAAUGUAGACAUGUUUAUUGUAAGGUGGAAAGGUUACCUGUAAGGUAAACUUGUUCACUGAUAGCCAGACAUUAUCAUUGUAAGGCACAAGUGUUUAUUGGAGGGUAUACAUGUUCAUUAUAAGGUACCCAAUUUCAUUAUAAGGUGGACAUGUUCACUUUAGGGUGGAUAGGUUUCCUGUAUGGUAGACAUGUUUAGUGUGAGGCACGCAUGUUCAUUGUAAGGCGUAACUGUUCAUUCUAAGGUCAAUAUGUUUAAUGUAAGGUACACAUGUUCACGGUAAGAUAAGCAUGUUCAUUGUGGUGAACACGUGCUCACUGUAAGGCAACCAUGUUCAUUGUAAGGUACACAUGUUCAUUAUAAGGUACAUAUUUUCAUUGUAAGGUACACAUGUUCAAUGUAAGGUAGACAGAGUCAUUGUAGGACAGACAUGCUCCAUGUAAGGUAGGUUUGUUCACGGUAAGAACACGUGUUCAUUGCCGGGUGUACAUGGUUAUUGAUAGGUACACGUGCUCACUGUAAGGUAACCAUGUUUACUGUAGGGAAGACGUGUUCACAGUAAAGCAACCAUUUUCAUUGUAAUGUGGACAUGUUCAUUGUGAGGUAGAGAUAAUCAUUGUAGGGUAUACUUGCUGCCUGUAACGUAGACCUGUACACUGUAAGGUAAACAUGUUUAUGGUAAAGUGGAAAGGUUACCUGUAAGGUAAACUUGUUCACUGAUAGCCAGACAUUAUCAUUGUAAGGCACAAGUGUUUAUUGGAGGGUAUACAUGUUCAUUAUAAGGUACCCAAUUUCAUUAUAAGGUGGACAUGUUCACUUUAGGGUGGAUAGGUUUCCUGUAUGGUAGACAUGUUUAGUGUGAGGCACGCAUGUUCAUUGUAAGGCGUAACUGUUCAUUCUAAGGUCAAUAUGUUUAAUGUAAGGUACACAUGUUCACGGUAAGAUAAGCAUGUUCAUUGUGGUGAACACGUGCUCACUGUAAGGCAACCAUGUUCAUUGUAAGGUACACAUGUUCAUUAUAAGGUACAUAUUUUCAUUGUAAGGUACACAUGUUCAAUGUAAGGUAGACAGAGUCAUUGUAGGACAGACAUGCUCCAUGUAAGGUAGGUUUGUUCACGGUAAGAACACGUGUUCAUUGCCGGGUGUACAUGGUUAUUGAUAGGUACACGUGCUCACUGUAAGGUAACCAUGUUUACUGUAGGGAAGACGUGUUCACAGUAAAGCAACCAUUUUCAUUGUAAUGUGGACAUGUUCAUUGUGAGGUAGAGAUAAUCAUUGUAGGGUAUACUUGCUGCCUGUAACGUAGACCUGUACACUGUAAGGUAAACAUGUUUAUGGUAAAGUGGAAAGGUUACCUGUAAGGUAAACUUGUUCACUGAUAGCCAGACAUUAUCAUUGUAAGGCACAAGUGUUUAUUGGAGGGUAUACAUGUUCAUUAUAAGGUACCCAAUUUCAUUAUAAGGUGGACAUGUUCACUUUAGGGUGGAUAGGUUUCCUGUAUGGUAGACAUGUUUAGUGUGAGGCACGCAUGUUCAUUGUAAGGCGUAACUGUUCAUUCUAAGGUCAAUAUGUUUAAUGUAAGGUACACAUGUUCACGGUAAGAUAAGCAUGUUCAUUGUGGUGAACACGUGCUCACUGUAAGGCAACCAUGUUCAUUGUAAGGUACACAUGUUCAUUAUAAGGUACAUAUUUUCAUUGUAAGGUACACAUGUUCAAUGUAAGGUAGACAGAGUCAUUGUAGGACAGACAUGCUCCAUGUAAGGUAGGUUUGUUCACGGUAAGAACACGUGUUCAUUGCCGGGUGUACAUGGUUAUUGAUAGGUACACGUGCUCACUGUAAGGUAACCAUGUUUACUGUAGGGAAGACGUGUUCACAGUAAAGCAACCAUUUUCAUUGUAAUGUGGACAUGUUCAUUGUGAGGUAGAGAUAAUCAUUGUAGGGUAUACUUGCUGCCUGUAACGUAGACCUGUACACUGUAAGGUAAACAUGUU